rnacentral:rRNA from 1 species
UAGGACGAACGCUGGCGGCGUGCUUCAUACAUGCAAGUCGAACGAGAAUCUCACUUCGGUGAGAGGAAAGUGGCGGACGGGUGAGUAAUGUGUAGAGAAUCUGCCCUAGAGUGAGGGACAACAGAGGGAAACUUCUGCUAAUACCUCAUAUGCGCGUAGCUGAGAUGCUAUUCGUGAAAACUCCGGUGCUCUGGGAUGAGUCUGCAUCUGAUUAGCUAGUUGGGGGUGUAAUGGACCACCAAGGCGACGAUCAGUAGCUGGUUUGAGAGGAUGAUCAGCCACAAUGGGACUGAGACACGGCCCAUACUCCUACGGGAGGCAGCAGUAGGGAAUUUUGCGCAAUGGGGGAAAAACCCCCUGACGCAGCAACGCCGCGUGAACGAAAAAGCCCUUCGGGGUGUAAAGUUCUGUCAGUGGGGACGAAACUUGACGGUACCCACAGAGGAAGCAUCGGCUAACUCCGUGCCAGCAGCGGC